rnacentral:rRNA from 1 species
UACGUAGGCAGCGAGCGUUGUUCGGAGUUACUGGGCGUAAAGCGUGCGUAGGCGGUGUCUUAAGUUUGUUGUGAAAUCUCCCGGCUUAACCGGGAGGGUGCGGCGAAUACUGAGAUGCUGGAGUGCCGGAGAGGUAAGCGGAAUUCCUGGUGUAGCGGUGAAAUGCGUAGAGAUCGGGAGGAACAUCAGUUGCGAAGGCGGCUCUCUGGACCAGCACUGACACUGAGGCACGAAAGCGUGGGGAGCAAACAGG